rnacentral:rRNA from 2 species
GGGUAGUUUGACUGGGGCGGUCUCCUCCCAAAGCGUAACGGAGGAGCACGAAGGUUAGCUAAUCCUGGUCGGACAUCAGGAGGUUAGUGCAAUGGCAUAAGCUAGCUUGACUGCGAGCGUGACGGCGCGAGCAGGUGCGAAAGCAGGUCAUAGUGAUCCGGUGGUUCUGAAUGGAAGGGCCAUCGCUCAACGGAUAAAAGGUACUCCGGGGAUAACAGGCUGAUACCGCCCAAGAGUUCAUAUCGACGGCGGUGUUUGGCACCUCGAUGUCGGCUCAUCACAUCCUGGGGCUGAAGUAGGUCCCAAGGGUAUGGCUGUUCGCCAUUUAAAGUGGUACGCGAGCUGGGUUUAGAACGUCGUGAGACAGUUCGGUCCCUAUCUGCCGUGGGCGCUGGAGAAUUGAGGGGGGCUGCUCCUAGUACGAGAGGACCGGAGUGGACGCAUCACUGGUGUUCGGGUUGUCAUGCCAAUGGCACUGCCCGGUAGCUAAAUGCGGAAGAGAUAAGUGCUGAAAGCAUCUAAGCACGAAACUUGCCCCGAGAUGAGUUCUCCCUGAGACUU